UACGGGGGGAGCAAGCGUUGUUCGGAUUUACUGGGCGUAAAGGGCGCGUAGGCGGCCACCGCAAGUCGGUUGUGAAAUCUCCAGGCUUAACCCGGAAAGGUCAAUCGAUACUGCGGGGCUAGAGUGCAGAAGGGGCAACUGGAAUUCUCGGUGUAGCGGUGAAAUGCGUAGAUAUCGAGAGGAACACCUGCGGCGAAGGCGGGUUGCUGGGCUGACACUGACGCUGAAGCGCGAAAGCUAGGGGAGCGAACGGG
rnacentral:rRNA from 1 species